CACGGCCAAGCACGCACCUCGUGACACACAUGCACAGUGCUCUGUGCGGCCUCCGCUGGCGCAGAACCGUGCAAAGUCACGGUCUGCAGAACGUGGGGCGGGGGGCGUGAGCGCGUGGGCGACAGGGCCCGACCGGCGCCAUCUUAUGAUUUCCUCACGGACGGAGCUGCGGACCUGGCGCUCACACAGAGCGAGCCGCAAGAAGUCCAACGGCUGGGCACGCCGCCUCUGUUCACUCACCCUAGCGUACCUGGAGUGUAUCUCUGUACCUGGAGUGUACCUGGAGUGUACCUGGAGUGUAUCUCCUUGGCUUGUGAACAACUCAGAGGAAGGGAAUGCGAGAGGAAUCCCAGCUGAGGUUCUUGACAAAGACGUGCAGAAACCUGUGUGACAAACUGAGAUAAUCCUUCUCUCCCGGGAUCACAUGCUGCCUGGAGUUAAUCAGGAUUGGGGUUAUUGGGUCUCCCGUUUUCUAAUUAUGUACCAAUUAACAGAGGAUGAAAAUUAUUUAAAAGCUUUAUUUUUGUAUGUCUUUCUUCUUCGUAAGAGAAAGAAUCCCUAGAUUCCUUCUCUCACUUUUCCUCGCCUUAAUAUGGUAUUUCCCGGGAAGUCCAUUGUCCUUACAACCAAUGGUUCUGGGAUGGGGGUGAGAAAGUGAUCUUUCAAAACAACAUUCAGGACCCUCUUUCUCAGACCAUGAGCCCACUGACAUUCUAAAAUGUCAACAUUAACAGAUACAAUCCCUCAGUGUAAUAAAAUGCUUUAUAUAGGCCAUUAAAAUUCAAUGUUCAGAUGAAAUGAAAAAUAUGUAUGUGAAACAUUUUUCCUAUGUGGC
rnacentral:lncRNA from 1 species